rnacentral:rRNA from 1 species
AAAACAUAGCCUUUAGCAAAACAAGUAUUAAAGGUGACGCCUGCCCAGUGAACACUUUAACGGCCGCGGUACCCUAACCGUGCAAAGGUAGCGUAAUCACUUGUCCACUAAUUAUGGACCAGUAUGAAAGGCAACAUGAGGGCUUAACUGUCUCUUGAGACCAAUUUAUAAAACUGAUCUUCUAGUACAAAAGCUGGAAUUCCACCAUAAGACGAGAAGACCCUGUGAAGCUUCAAGAACCCUGCUAACCCACCUAGCAAAAACUUUUAGUUGGGGCAACUUUGGAAUACAACUAAACUUCCAAAAAACCUAUAAGACACACAAGUCAAACACGACCCAGUACAGCUGAUUAAUGAACCAAGUUACUCCAGGGAUAACAGCGCUAUCCUCUUUAAGAGCCCAUAUCAAAAAGAGGGUUUACGACCUCGAUGUUGGAUCAGGACACCCAAACGGCGCAGCCGCUGUUAAAGGUUCGUUUGUUCAACGAUAAAAAGUCCUACGUG